CUCUGGGGAAAUCUUCCGGCUUAACCGGAAGGCGUCUCAGGGAUACUGGCAGACUAGGGACCGGAAGAGGUGAGGGGUACUCCAGGGGUAGGAGUGAAAUCCUGUAAUCCUUGGGGGACCACCUGUGGCGAAGGCGCCUCACCAGAACGGCUCCGACAGUGAGGGACGAAAGCUGGGGGAGCAAACCGGAUUAGAUACCCGGGUAGUCCCAGCCGUAAACGAUGUGCGUUAGGUGUAUCGGUGACCACGAGUCACCGAGGUGCCGAAGAGAAAUCGUGAAACGUACCGCCUGGGAAGUACGGUCGCAAGGCUGAAACUUAAAGGAAUUGGCGGGGGAGCACCACAACAGGUGGAGCCUGCGGUUUAAUCGGACUCAACGCCGGAAAACUCACCAGAUAAGACAGCUGAAUGAUAGUCGGGCUGAAGACUCUACUUGACUAGCUGAGAGGAGGUGCAUGGCCGUCGUCAGUUCGUACUGUGAAGCAUA
rnacentral:rRNA from 1 species